rnacentral:rRNA from 1 species
UGGGGAAUUUUGGACAAUGGGCGAAAGCCUGAUCCAGCAAUGCCGCGUGUGUGAAGAAGGCCUUCGGGUUGUAAAGCACUUUUGUCCGGAAAGAAAUCCUUGGCUCUAAUACAGUCGGGGGAUGACGGUACCGGAAGAAUAAGCACCGGCUAACUACGUGCCAGCAGCCGCGGUAAUACGUAGGGUGCAAGCGUUAAUCGGAAUUACUGGGCGUAAAGCGUGCGCAGGCGGUUUGCUAAGACCGAUGUGAAAUCCCCGGGCUCAACCUGGGAACUGCAUUGGUGACUGGCAGGCUAGAGUAUGGCAGAGGGGGGUAGAAUUCCACGUGUAGCAGUGAAAUGCGUAGAGAUGUGGAGGAAUACCGAUGGCGAAGGCAGCCCCCCUGGGCCAAUACUGACGCUCAUGCACGAAAGCGUGGGGAGCAAACAGGAUUAGAUACCCUGGUAGUCCACGCCCUAAAACGAUGUCAACUAGUUGUUGGGGAUUCAUUUCCUUAGUAACGUAGCUAACGCGUGAAGUUGACCGCCUGGGGAGUACGGUCGCAAGAUUAAAACUCAAAGGAAUUGACGGGGUCAUAGCUG